UACGUAGGGGGCUAGCGUUGUCCGGAAUCAUUGGGCGAAAGAGCGUGUAGGCGGCCCGGUAAGUCCGCUGUAAAAGUCAAAGGCUCAACCUUUGAAUGUCAGUGGAUACUGCCGGGCUAGAGUCCGGAAGAGGCGAGUGGAACUCCUGGUGUAGCGGUGGAAUGCGCAGAUAUCAGGAGGAACACCGGUGGCGAAGGCGGUUCUCUGGGCCCUGUGACCUGACGUGAGGAACGAAAGCGUGGGGAGCGAACGG
rnacentral:rRNA from 1 species